rnacentral:lncRNA from 1 species
ACUCAAAGCUGUGUGACAAAUCAUAAAAAACUUAGCAUCCAAAAAUACAUGUUUGUGAUCUCACAGUUGAGCAGGCCCUCAGCUUUGCACUGGCAUCAAAGCCUCAUGGGAGCACCCUUGUAUCAGAAGCCUGUAUAGGAAGGGCUCUGCUCCCAGGCUCUCCCAGGCAGGUGACAUUGGACCCACACACAGCUGUCUGCAUUUGUUAGUCCUGUGUUUUGAGGAAGCUGAUGACUGUGAGGGGAUGAAGAACUUAAGAUCAAAGAGGAAAAGGAACCAGAGUCAACCAAGCAAAGAGGGCCCCUGCUGUCAGGAACAAGGAAGAAGUGAUGUGUGUGUCUUGUCUGUUUGUCUGUCUGUCUCUUCUCUGUGUGUCUAUGUGUAUCUGUCUAUCUGCAUGUCUGCCUCUCUCCCUCUCUCUCUCUCUCUCUGCUGGGGGGUGUAUUCAGUGUGGGUGUGUGUCUAACAUCAGCUCUGCAAGGCUCAGUCCAUCCUCAACAUUCGGGUGCUGCCUGGGAAACCUGCAAACCUUCAAACUUGAUGUGAAUGAACACCAAAGUCGAGAUAGAGUCUACAAAAGAGCUUCUUUCUACAGCCUUCACUUCUGGUGAGGUCAUCCAAAUAUCCCUGGAGCCAGCUGCCACCAGUCAGGGCUUUGGAUGCCUGCUCUGCAAUCCCUGCUGACCCACCACACUCCUUCACUUGGAAAGUCCCGACUCUGGCAAAGAGCUGCCCUUGAAGUAGGUACUUCAAAGGGGCCACAGGCUACUGGAAAGCGUUCAGAUCUCUUAUCUGAGGAGCAGGAAAUGCAGUGACACCACAAGCCUUUGGAGUUUCUGAAGACACCACAUGAAGUUAACAGGUUGAGCUAAUCAACCCAAGAGGAAGAAGGAACACAUGAACUGGAAAUAUUCAGCUGAAAUGGAUUGGUAUUUCAAAGCACAAAGCUCCUGAGAGAUGCUCUUCUGAACAGGAGGACAACAGGAGGGAAACAGUAUGUUCAUGGCAGAAUAAAACAAUCUUUCCCUGACUUACUUUUGGGCUUACCGUUUGACAAAGAACAUAAAAAUAUGAGAUCUAAAUUCACUU